UACAGAGGGUGCAAGCGUUAAUCGGACUUACUGGGCGUAAAGGGUGCGUAGGCGGGAGCUUAAGUUAGUUGUGAAAGGCCUGGGCUCAACCUAGGAACUGCAAUUAAGACUGGGCAUCUAGAGUUGAGUAGAGGGGAGCGGAAUUUCCGGUGUAGCGGUGAAAUGCGUAGAUAUCGGAAGGAACACCUGUAGCGAAGGCGGCUCUCUGGACUCAAACGUGACGACUGAGGCACGGAAAGCGUGGGUAGCGAACAGG
rnacentral:rRNA from 1 species